rnacentral:rRNA from 1 species
UAAUACGUAGGGGGCGAGCGUUGUCCGGAUUUAUUGGGCGUAAAGCGCACGCAGGCGGUUGAUCGCGUUUGGAGUGACAGUGUUCGGCUUAACUGAGCAAGUGCUUCGAAAACGGGUCAACUUGAGGGUCCUAGAGGAAAGCGGAAUUCCAGGUGGAGCGGUGAAAUGCGUAGAGAUCUGGAGGAACACCAAAGGCGAAGGCAGCUUUCUGGGGGACAUCUGACGCUCAGGUGCGAAAGCUAGGGGAGCGAACGGGAUUAGAUACCCCGGUAGUCCUAGCUGUAAACGAUGACCACUAGGCGUGGGGGGUAUCGACCCCUUCCGUGCCGAAGCUAACGCAUGAAGUGGUCCGCCUGGGGAGUACGGUCGCAAGAUUA